rnacentral:rRNA from 1 species
CCCUUAGACGUUCUGGGCCGCACGCGCGCUACACUGACCAGUGCAACAAGCAUCCGUCCUUGGCCGACAGGCUCGGGCAAUCUUUGAACGCUGGUCGUGAUGGGGAUAGACUUUUGCAAUUUUUGGUCUUCAACGAGGAAUUCCUAGUAAACGCAAGUCAUCAACUUGCAUUGAUUACGUCCCUGCCCUUUGUACACCCCGCCCGUCGCACCUACCGAUUGAAUGGUCCGGUGAAGCCUCCGGAUUGGCGCGCACCUCGGUGCCGCCGAGAAGUUGGCUAAACCUUACCAUUUAGAGGAAGGUGAAGUCGUAACA